GUAGGUGGCAAGCGUUGUCCGGAAUUAUUGGGCGUAAAGCGCGCGCAGGCGGUUCUUUAAGUCUGAUGUGAAAGCCCACGGCUCAACCGUGGAGGGUCAUUGGAAACUGGAGAACUUGAGUACAGAAGAGGAAAGCGGAAUUCCACGUGUGGCGGUGAAAUGCGUAGAGAUGUGGAGGAACACCAGUGGCGAAGGCGGCUUUCUGGUCUGUAACUGACGCUGAGGCGCGAAAGCGUGGGGAGCAAACAGGAUUAGAUACCCUGGCAGUCCACGCCGUAAACGAUGAGUGCUAAGUGUUAGGGGGUUUCCGCCCCUUAGUGCCGCAGCUAACGCAUUAAGCACUCCGCCUGGGAGUACGGCCGCAAGGCUG
rnacentral:rRNA from 1 species